rnacentral:rRNA from 1 species
AUUGAACGCUGGCGGCAUGCCUUACACAUGCAAGUCGAACGGCAGCACGGGGGCAACCCUGGUGGCGAGUGGCGAACGGGUGAGUAACACAUCGGAACGUGUCCUGUUGUGGGGGAUAACCAGUCGAAAGACUGGCUAAUACCGCAUGAGCUGGAGACAGGAAAGCGGGGGACCUGAAAGGGCCUCGUGCGAUUGGAGCGGCCGAUGUCCGAUUAGCUAGUUGGUGGGGAAAGGCCCACCAAGGCGACGAUCGGUAGCUGGUCUGAGGGGAUGAUCAGCCACACUGGGACUGAGACACGGCCCAGACUCCUACGGGAGGCAGCAGUGGGGAAUUUUGGACAAUGGGGGCAACCCUGAUCCAGCCAUGCCGCGUGAGUGAAGAAGGCC